UAUGGGUCACUGAGGUUCCUUUAGAUAUGAAAAGGACUUAAGCAGGUGUAUGCAAAUAGUUCAUUGUUGACUGUGAACAGAUAUCUAGAGAUCGCCAACACAUUAAAUCUAAGUUUAAUACUUAAACUGACCUUCCUUCCUUUCUUCCUUUUUUAUUUAUUUCUCUAUUCUUUGAUUGCCAUUUAUCAUGGACAAAAGACAUUACAUUUUAACACUGUAUGAUAGUUCACAAUAUUAAGGUUAUGUUCAGUAUGACAAGGACCGUCCUAUGCUUGUCACUGCAGGUUUUAUGAACACAUCUUUUGGAGACAUUGACACACCUUUAAUUAUGACUCCUUAUCGCAACAAAGCAGUAAUCAUUUAAAUAGCACAUCUGAUAUAGGUAAACAGCACACAGCUUCAAAAUAAAGUAGACGAGACCACUGGAACAUCAGAUGUUAGCUACUAUGUAUAGUGAGUAACAUUAAAUAUUAAGAUUUAUCUUCCUUCUCAGUCUCCUGGAACAUGUAGGAAAGGGCACAAACGGGAUCUUUACUUAGAAACUUGAUAUGACUGCAUUUAAGCUCAGGUGCUUAAGCUCACCACCACCAUUGUAAAAUAAAUGUUUGUCUUGGCACAGAGUCAUCAUUGACACCUUCACAUUUUGUGCUAAGCAAUUUUUUUUAUCUCAUCCUGUGUGAUAGGAAGUAAAUAUUUGUGGGACAGUUCCAGCGUUUUGGAGGUGGAACAUUUCGGGGGGGGGUGUUAUGGGGAUUUUAUUGCAUUUAUUGACAUUGGAAUUGCAUUCUUGUGAAACUGAAUGUGAUAUUCUCUGGGUACCAUUCUCCUCCUGUGUAAAGUCAAGAGGGAAAGUAUUUACCUUUUAGUGACUGUUUCAGCUUAGGAGCAUUUGCAGGAGCUAGCUGCUCCUACUGUCUCCUCCUUACAGGUACUUUGGAUCACUAAUUCACCUCAUCAGCUUAACCUGACACGGAAGAAGCAGGAAUAUCAAGGGUAGAGUUACUCUCAAAGCAAGUGAUGCCUAAGUGAUAUUGACACUUUGACACAAACAGUUGAGAAGUAAGUGUGUGUGUGUGUGUGUGUGUGUGUGUGUGUGUGUGUGUGUGUGUGUGUGUGUGUCCUAGAGAGAGACACAGAGACAGAGAGACAGAGAGAGAUUUUGCUAAUUAGCUCUUUGCUUUGCUCUCGGCCUGGUGGCCUUGUGACAUAAUAAAGCAGAGGAGAAAUCACUUUCAGACUCAUGUGAAAUUAAAAGAAAAUUGCAAGGAUGAAUCUGUUGAAUAAAAAGGAAUUGGAUGUGUAAAAGAGAAAAAUCCAGGCCUCCUGGAGCCCAUUGCAAGGCAUUAGCCCAUGGAGCAUGCUGCUGCCUUGCUCAGUGGGAGGUGACAUUGCAAUUAUGUUUCUCAGUAUGAGUCCUGCCUGCCCAAUGGCAUAGGGCCACAUUGAUGGAAUCAGGGUGUCCACUGCACUGAAAUAUCUUCAUGCCUUCAAAUUAUUUCAGAUUAUUGUGAUUUUAGACAAGUAUUUUAUUAUAUUUUUAAAAGAAGUAUGGUGCAAUAGUAUGCUUAUACAUGGAAACAUGUAUUAUUAAUGACUGUCAUUUUUAUAAUUCUAAUAAAAUAAUUUGUCAUUCUUUUAUACAUUUUAAUAAAAUAAUUGGUCAAUCUCUUAUCUAUAAUAGAAGAGAGGGCCUUGCUAUAUCACCUUGGUUGGCCUGGAACUUAUUCUGUAGAUCAGGCUGGCCUUGAACACACAGAGUCGAUCUGAAUAAGACAUGUCCCUGACAUACCCUGCUAUAGUUAUAUUCUUAAUUCAAUAUGAAUUAUGGUUGAAGAAAUUGAAUGAAUACUGUUUAUCUCUCUGCAAUUUUAUAAGGUAUAUCCAGAGGACUUGUUAAGCUUUCUACCUUAAAAAUUUUUUUCAAAAUAUUUUGAAAGUAUAUAUUUCUUCCUUUGUCGAUGAGUCAUAGUUAUCAAUUACGUUUUUCCUUUAGGAAAAUCAUGCAAAAAUAUAUCCUCAAGACAUAGAAAAGAAAACCUAAGGAGAAACCCAGCUCUUCUGCACUUCAUUUUUAUGAUUUAUUUGGGUCUCUUCAAUUUGCAACAAUUUGUUUUUUUCUUAAAACAUAGAAAAUACAUUGGCAACACAUUAAUAAUCCUUGUUGUUAAGGUAAAUAAGGUUAUUUAUCCAAGCACAUUACUAGCUGUCUGGAUAUAUUUUAGCCUUUUUUCCAUACAAAUCUUCAAUACAUUUCCAUCAUUCAGAAAAUUACAACUAAGUGGACAAUUUAGGGGUUUGGAGUUGUUUUAUUUGUAGCCCGUGCUGGCCUUGAACCUCAUGUGACCCUCCUUUCUCAGCAUUCCUAGGGUUAAAGAGUACAGCUCUUGAGCCACCAUGCUUGCCACAUAAGCUGGAUAUUUUUUAAAUUAAAUCCAGUUUCAAAGAACAUACAUUACCCUGUGCUGUGUACUCAUAUUUUUGUCUGUUUGGUUUCCUUUUUAUAUUUUCAGAAUGCAUUCCACAAUAUUCCUGCAAAAGCAUUAAAGAAUAUCAAAAUAAUAUAAUAUAAGUAACUGUAGUUUGAUCUUGACAUUCGGUGCCUGGAAUGUCCUUGAGCUCCCACUCUUAAAAGACAAAUAAACAACAAAAACUUUUAUACAAUUCUCCCCAAAGCUUUAUAUUCAAAACAGGAAUUCUUGAAAUAGUCCCCAUUAACAUUUAAUGACAUAUUGGAAGUUUCAGUGGUGGAGAGAAAGACGGUUUGCAUUCAUGUAUGAAGAUAAGUAGGCAUGCCCAGGGGAUUUGGCAUUGUAGAAAAGCUUUGUGAUUAGAAGGAAUUAUCUUUUCUUUUGUAAAGUUUUCUACUUGUUGGGUGGCUGUUAGACUUUUAGCAGUUUUUAUUUCCACUUGGGUGUUUCUCCUAGCAUCCCUAUGUGUCCAUAGUUUUCUACAUUUUUUAAAGACCUUGGAUGGUGAAAAUAAUCCAGAAAAUUUUAUCUUCAAAAAGAAAAAAAAAAACCAGCAAAUUGAGUAUGAGAAUAUAAUAUUUUUUGUCUUAAUGUUGUGUAAAAGGUGAUUAAAUAUCAUUGGGUGACACAUCCUAGAAGUUAGGACAAGAACAGAACAGUACACAAAUCUUCCCAAGUCCUUCAAGGUAUCCAGGCUCACCAGAUGCUGUGCCUCUCCUCCAGAAAGCAUGAUACAACAGAGCCAAUGACAGCAUCUCAUCACCAUGUCCGUGGCUCACUUUCUGAGCACUUUAUGUGUAGCCAGUUAUAUUUGUUCUUAUUGUGAUUUCAUGAAUUUCAUACUUGUUUUGAAGCCCAUUUCCUGGCUUUGGCAAUGUUGGAUACGGACGUAAAGCAACUGCCAGUUAUGUUAUAUGCAAACUGAUUCCUAAGCUAUCCUCUAACUCACUGUGUGUUUGGGCUGCACAGGCAAGAGGGCAAGUUUUUUGUUUUGUUUUUGUUUUAACCAGUGAAGAUCUUUGACAACCAGCAUCACUACCCUAGUUAUUUUAGGAUAUAUGUAAUAUGUACUAACACAUAAAAGUGAGGACACUUGUACUGUGCCACAAUCAUAAGCAGGCUGGUAAAACCUACAUGCAACAACCAAUGGGAAAUGACCCCAGGAGUAAGAGAGCUUGAUUGACAGUAAACUCCUGGUAAACAGUAAUGAUGCAGGCUCCAAUUAGAGAACUAACUUUUAAGUCUCUGUGCC
rnacentral:lncRNA from 1 species